GCCCUAGUAACGGCGAGUGAAGCGGCAACAGCUCAAAUUUGAAAUCUGGCUCUUUGGGGGUCCGAGUUGUAAUUUGCAGAGGAUGCUUUGGCAUUGGCGGCGGUCUAAGUUCCUUGGAACAGGACAUCACAGAGGGUGAGAAUCCCGUACGUGGUCGCCUGCCUUUGCCGUGUAAAGCUCCUUCGACGAGUCGAGUUGUUUGGGAAUGCAGCUCUAAAUGGGAGGUAAAUUUCUUCUAAAGCUAAAUACCGGCCAGAGACCGAUAGCGCACAAGUAGAGUGAUCGAAAGAUGAAAAGUACUUUGGAAAGAGAGUCAAAAAGCACGUGAAAUUGUUGAAAGGGAAGCGCUUGCAGCCAGACUUGCCCGCAGUUGCUCACCUAGGCUUUGGCCUGGGGCACUCUUCUGCGGGCAGGCCAGCAUCAGUUUGGGCGGUUGGAUAAAGGCCUCUGUCACGUAUCUUCCUUCGGGUGACCUUAUGGGGAGGCGUAAUGCAACCGCCCGGACUGAGGUCCGCGCAUCUGCUAGGAUGCUGGCGUAAUGGCUGUAAGCGGCCCGUCUUGAAACACGGACCAAGGAGUCUAACAUCUAUGCGAGUGUUUGGGUGUCAAGCCCGGGCGCGCAAUGAAAGUGAACGGAGGUGGGAACCCUUUGGGUGCACCAUCGACCGAUCCUGAUGUCUUCGGAUGGAUUUGAGUAAGAGCAUAGCUGUUGGGACCCGAAAGAUGGUGAACUAUGCUUGAAUAGGGUGAAGCCAGAGGAAACUCUGGUGGAGGCUCGCAGCGGUUCUGACGUGCAAAUCGAUCGUCAAAUUUGGGCAUAGGGGCGAAAGACUAAUCGAACCAUCUAGUAGCUGGUUCCUGCCGAAG
rnacentral:rRNA from 1 species